UGAUCCCCAGCUUGCUGGGGGGAUUAGUGGCGAACGGGUGAGUAACACGUGAGUAACCUGCCCUUGACUCUGGGAUAAGCCUGGGAAACUGGGUCUAAUACUGGAUACGACCUUUCACCGCAUGGUGGGGGGUGGAAAGCUUUUGUGGUUUUGGAUGGACUCGCGGCCUAUCAGCUUGUUGGUGGGGUAAUGGCCUACCAAGGCGACGACGGGUAGCCGGCCUGAGAGGGUGGACGGCCACACUGGGACUGAGACACGGCCCAGACUCCUACGGGAGGCAGCAGUGGGGAAUAUUGCACAAUGGGCGCAAGCCUGAUGCAGCGACGCCGCGUGAGGGAUGAAGGCCUUCGGGUUGUAAACCUCUUUCAGUAGGGAAGAAGCGAAAGUGACGGUACCUGCAGAAGAAGCGCCGGCUAACUACGUGCCAGCAGCCGCGGUAAUACGUAGGGCGCAAGCGUUAUCCGGAAUUAUUGGGCGUAAAGAGCUCGUAGGCGGUUUGUCGCGUCUGCCGUGAAAGUCCGGGGCUUAACUCCGGAUCUGCGGUGGGUACGGGCAGACUUGAGUGAUGUAGGGGAGACUGGAAUUCCUGGUGUAGCGGUGAAAUGCGCAGAUAUCAGGAGGAACACCGAUGGCGAAGGCAGGUCUCUGGGCAUUAACUGACGCUGAGGAGCGAAAGCAUGGGGAGCGAACA
rnacentral:rRNA from 1 species